AUGAAAAAGGAAAAAUGAAGUCGAAGAAACAGAAAAAACCCGAUGAACAAGAAGAAAUUGAUAGUGUCGAAACACUGAAGGAGAUGCAAAUCAAGGCAAAGAAAGCAAAGAAAGCUGCACCAAAGGAAGUAUUGGGUGAUGCAGAUAAUGAGGAUGAUAAUACAAAUAAGCAAUGUGUUGUCUAUAAACAAGUAUAAUGAGAAAUUUAGAGAUGAGUACAGUGCA